ACCAGUGUGCGCCCCCGUUGACUCGUUGACUCACUGACUCUUGACGGACUUACCGUUAACCAGCAAAAGUGAACCAAGUAAGUCGUGUCUCUGGAACUUGCGGUACCGAUUGUACAGUAUGCUACGUGUGGGACGAUUUAAAGCUCGCCAUUGUCGCCGACCGAAUAUACGGAAGGGCUCGUCGAAGAAAGUGCGAGCGAACAAUUCUCCAGCCGCUCUUUAAACCCUGACUUUUACUACCAAUAACAAGAUCCUUCGAGAAGCCUUGUUUCGACUUAACUGCACUGUACGAGAUACACCCUGAAGUAGGCUCUGUUACGUCUGGACAACCGCGCAUGCGUCAAGCAUCGCUUGCAAAUUGGAAAAGAUUCUAGAGAAUUCGUAUAUCUGAUAAUAAGAGACAAUAAGAAUAUUCGAGAAGGACAUUUGCACAGCAUCACACGAAUCGUAGAUUUCGAUUUCCGCCAGUGUUUUUGAACCUAAUUUCUUCGAAUUUUAUUACCGAUAACGAGAGCCUUCGAGGAGUUUCGUUGCGACCUAACUGUACUAUGCGAAGUACUCCGUGAAGUAGGAAUUGUUACACGAUCCUUGGACAAGGCCAACCGCGCUAUGUAGGAUGUCCCCUCGAACUUGGGUUCGUUACACGUGGAUAACCACGCGUUAAAGAGCACCGAAACACUGCCAAGUGGA